rfam:Hordeum vulgare subsp. vulgare, WGS project CAJW01000000 data, contig: morex_contig_49877
GAGCUACACCAUCCGUCCAGAAAUACUUGUCAUAAGAAUGGAUGUAUCUAGAUGUAUUUUAGUUCUAGCAUCCUUUUUUACCCAUUUGUGCGACAAGUAAUUCCGGACAGAGGGAGUAUUAG